rnacentral:misc_RNA from 1 species
GAUGAGAACGCAGCGAAAUGCGAUAAGUAGUGUGAAUUGCAGAAUUCAGUGAAUCAUCGAAUCUUUGAACGCACAUUGCGCCCCUUGGUAUUCCAUGGGGCAUGCCUGUUCGAGCGUCAUUUGUACCUUCAAGCUUUGCUUGGUGUUGGGUGUUUGUCCCGAGGGACUCGCCUUAAAGUAAUUGGCAGCCAGUGUUUGGUUUUGAAGCGCAGCACAAGUCGCGAUUCAAGGCUACACGCCCGCUUCCACAAGCCUUUUUUCACUUUUGACCUCGGAUCAGGUAGGGAUACCCGCUGAACUUAAGCAUAUCAAUAAGCGGAGGA